rnacentral:rRNA from 1 species
CAAUAGCGUAUAUUAAAGUUGUUGCAGUUAGAACGCUCGUAGUCGGAUUUCGGGGCGGGCCGACCGGUCUGCCGAUGGGUACGCACUGGUCGGCGCGUCCUUCCUUCCGGAGACCGUGCCUACUCUUAACUGAGCGGGGGCGGGAGACGGAUCGUUUACUUUGAAAAAAUCAGAGUGUUUCAAGCAGGCAGCUCGCUCUUGCAUGGAUUAGCAUGGGAUAAUGAAAUAGGACUUUGGUGCUAUUUUGUUGGUUUCGAACACCGAGGUAAUGAUUAACAGGGACAGUCAGGGGCACUCGUAUUCCGCCGAGAGAGGUGAAAUUCUCAGACCAGCGGAAGACGAACUACUGCGAAAGCAUUUGCCAGGGAUGUUUUCACUGA